rnacentral:rRNA from 1 species
GACGAACGCUGGCGGCGUGCCUAAUACGUGCAAGUUGAGCGCUGAAGGUUGGUACUUGUACCAACUGGAUGAGCAGCGAACGGGUGAGUAACGCGUGGGGAAUCUGCCUUUGAGCGGGGGACAACAUUUGGAAACGAAUGCUAAUACCGCAUAAAAACUUUAAACACAAGUUUUAAGUUUGAAAGAUGCAAUUGCAUCACUCAAAGAUGAUCCCGCGUUGUAUUAGCUAGUUGGUGAGGUAAAGGCUCACCAAGGCGAUGAUACAUAGCCGACCUGAGAGGGUGAUCGGCCACAUUGGGACUGAGACACGGCCCAAACUCCUACGGGAGGCAGCAGUAGGGAAUCUUCGGCAAUGGACGAAAGUCUGACCGAGCAACGCCGCGUGAGUGAAGAAGGUUUUCGGAUCGUAAAACUCGGUUGGUAGAGAAGAACGUUGGUGAGAGUGGAAAGCUCAUCAAGUGACGGUAACUACCCAGAAAGGGACGGCUAACUACGUG